UGCCAAGCAAAGUGAAUAAAAUUUAGAAACAUACAUAUGUAUGUAGGUACAUACAAAUAUAAUACUAUUUGUGAGGAAAAAUAGUCGCUUUGUUGCAAAUUGUGCAGUGAAAAGAGACUAUUCCAGAACGACAGCAAUAGUUGGUAUACCAAAACGCAUACAAGCCGCGAGUGACCCUCACCGUUAAUUUAAUUUCCGGUCCUAAAUAUAUGUGAGAGUAGAAAAAGUUACAUAAGAAAAGUGCAUUUAAAACAAAGCGAAAAUAUUGAAAAGUGUGUACAUUUGUUAAAGAAUUGUGAAUUGAAAAAUUUCCAACAACAAGCAAAAGAUACACACAAAGUCGGUGAAGGCAAAGUGAGAGCAAGCGAGGCACAGGAGGUUGGAGAAGAUAAGGGCGAGGCGAAAAACAACAAAUACAUACUACAGCAAAAGCAACCGCAUAAGAUACUGUUUUGUCCUUACUGUCCUGAGUGCAACGCAUUCCUUCGGUUCAUAAUCGCAAUCCACCCCACCUAGUCUUCAAAGGCGCGCGCUACAGAAUUAGGACAAACGUAUACCGAUACAGUCAUUCGACAACACACACACACACGCACACACUUAAUUUCUCAUUCAGUCAUCAGGCGGAUAUAGUGCGCUGAGCGUAUAGAGCGGCAUAACAAUAUGGCGGAGUUUUUGGAGAAAAGCUCUGUGACACUGGAAGCUGCGGUUGUCAGCAAUGGCACAACAGCAGCAGCUGAGGUCGCAGCAGCACCCACAACAACAAAUACUUUCGCAGGAAUACCGGCACAGACUGCUGGCGCAACAACAGUGAAUGACUCACACUCGCUGUUAUUGAAGGAGCAACAGCAUCAACAGGAGCAAAUAUACCAACAACAGAAGGAACAACAGCAGCUACAGCUACAGCAACAGCAGCCGGUGGCCGUGCCAUCAGUAGCAGCGGCAGUGGAUGUUAAGCAGGCGCAGCCAGAACAGAAAGAAGGUGACAAUGACAGUGGCGUUGAUGAGUCAACUCAGGAGAAGGAGCGCAACGGACCCGGAUCGCCCAGCUCACCGGCCAAGACACCAACAUCAACUACUUCGAAGGGAGACAAAGGAGGCGCAUCUCGUCCACCCAGUGCAACACCAUCGAACAAAUCGUCCAAAUCACGUUCCACAUCCAGAAAUCGCUUGCUGUUGAAGACUCCCGAACCGGAGCCAGUAAAAAAAGUACCAAUGAACAAAAUUCAAGUCGGUCACGCUCCUUCACCCAAUCUUAAGGCCGUGCGCUCCAAAAUUGGGUCGCUGGAUAAUGCUAGUUACAAGCCGGGUGGCGGUAAUGUCAAAAUUGAGAGCAAGAAAAUCGAAAUAAAAGCAGCACCCAGAAUUGAGGCAAAAAAUGACAAGUAUACGCCACGUGGUGGCGAAAAGAAGAUAAUUUCGACAAAGUUACAAUGGAACGCCAAGUCGAAAAUUGGCUCCUUGGAGAAUGCCAAUCAUAAGCCGGGUGGUGGUGAUAAGAAGAUUGAAACAAUUAAAACGGACUUUAAAGAUAAGGCUAAGCCGAAAGUCGGUUCAAAGGAUAAUGUCAAACACACUCCGGGCGGUGGUGAUAUUAAGAAAUCGCAAAUCUUGAAGGAAAACGCACCCGCCAAGGAUAUACAAACUCAAAAGGUAGAACUUAAGGCACAAAGCAAAGUGGGCUCUUUGGAUAACAUUAAGCACAAGCCCGGUGGUGGGGAGAGGAAAAUUUUUGAUGAUAAGGACUAUCUGAAAAAUGUUGAACAUACAGUUGCACUGACACCACCGACACAGGAAUAUUUAUAUACGUUUUACUGAGUAGGCAAUACUGAACUGAUAGUCCCUAACUGUCAUGAGAAACCACAUACCUACAUAUAUUCGAGUAUGUACGUAUCCGCUAGAAAACGUUCACUCAACCAACAACCAUCGUGUACCAGUCCACAACCAUCCAUGACGACUUCAACAACUGGUGCCGAUGAAAAUUUAAAUCAGCAGAGUUAAAUAAAUUAAGCAUGAAAAACCAAAAACAAAAAAAAACAAGCAGAAACAAAAGACAAAACAAAAUCAGCAAAAUAAAAUAAACAUUACAUGCAUACAUAUUUACAAAAGAAAAUUAGAAAAAACAAAAAUUACAAAAAUAAAAAGAAACAAAAUAUUUCAUAAAAACAUUAUUAUUAUUAUUAUUAUUAGCAUCACUCUCAUACGAUUGAAUAUUUAUUGAAGGAAAAGUUUAUGGAACAAAAUAAUUCAAAAUUUGCAAACAUACAUACAUACAAAUAUAAAUUUACAUACAUAUGAACAACACUGUAAUUGUUGAAACUGUAUUGUCACAACCCACAAAAUAUGUAAAAUUACUUUAUCGUAUUAAUUCGGUGUGCAUUUGAAAUGUAGCAAACAAUUUGCAAAUAAUAAAUCAUUUUUCACAAA